GAGAGCAUGAGCGGGGGAGGGGCAGAGAGAGAGGGAGACACAGAAUCUGAAGCAGGCUCCAGGAUCCGAGCUGUCAUCACACAGCCCGACGCGGGGCUCGAACUCACAGACCGUGAGAUCAUGACCUGAGCCGAAGUCAACCGACUGAGCCACCCAGGCGCCCCGGGGGGUCUUCUUUUGAUGAGGACACAGUCAUAUUGGAUUAGGACCCCACCCUUUUCCACUCUGAGCGCAUCUCCGCUGAUUACAUCUCCGAUGGCCUUACUUCCAAACAUCACGUUCUGAGGUCCCGUUUAAGACGCGUCGGCCUAUCUUUCUGUGAGGACACGAUUCGACCCACUCGCCGGUAGUGUAACCGAGAGCACCUUCCUCAAGUCAGUAGAAACAUCUGCCUAAACCUGCUGUGGAAGGAAAGCGGAAGGGUAACCGCCUUUUAGUUUCUGCUUAUUUCCCGAGUUGUCUGUGCCCGAGCCGGGUCGACGGGUGUGCAGCUGCCAGAGCCUCUGAUUCCGAGCCAGCCAAGCCGUCGGGAGCCCUGAAUACGUCGUCUUCCAGUUGGCUAGCUCAGCGACCCAGAUGGAAACUGAAGAGAUGAUGUGACUCCGUCCACAUGGAGACAUUAGCUUGUGUUGCGUAUUUUAACUUCACAGACCGUGUUUGUGCUGUAGUGCCUUUACGCUUCUCAUGGCAAACAGUCUGGAAUGUCAUUAAAACUUUUCCAGUAGAAUGUGCAAAUUUUGGCAAAACAAACAGAAGGGUAUCGAUAUUCUGAGCUUGGCUAAACCGCGCCAGCCCCUGCUUCCUCCACCCUGCCCCCAAAUGAAGUGACGUGGAGAGCAAAGGGUCUGAGUAUUACCCGGCCUGAGUCCCGCAAGAACCUGGCACUGUGGAGGCCUCCGUCCCUUACAUACCCGCACAGCUGAUGGCACUCUGUCUUUAUCAGUGGCUUCCAUGGUGACCGCCCCUGGAGCCCAGAAGAAGGGGGAGGCCUUGGGCCUACUUGGCUAAGGGCCCGUGUUCAAAGGCGGCCCCCACUCUGAGAGAGCAGCCUUGUGGCCAUACGGCCUAUAAAUGCUGGGCUCCUACUGAUGGCCUCAUUCCAGGAGAGAGCCCUGUGCCCGGUGACCCUGGGCGCUGGGAACCAGUGAAGCAAAAUGUCCUUGUAGCCGGGUCCCGAUCUUAACCCACUGGUCGUCCACCUGCGCACCCCUUUUUCCUGGAUUAACAAAAUCCAAGCAAUUACUCACAGCUUCAACACACGAUGGGGGGAAGGGCUCCUGUUCGGUUUCCAUUCCGCAAAUAGGUGAUCAAAACUUCU